rnacentral:rRNA from 1 species
AGAGUUUGAUCCUGGCUCAGAAUCAACGCUGGCGGCGUGCCUAACACAUGCAAGUCGAGCGCCCAGCAAUGGGAGCGGCGGACGGGUGAGUAACACGUGGGAACAUGCCUUUCGGUACGGAACAACUGCGGGAAACUGCAGCUAAUGCCGUAUACGCCCUUACGGGAAAGAUUUAUCGCCGGAAGAUUGGCCCGCGUCUGAUUAGCUAGUUGGUGAGGUAACGGCUCACCAAGGCUUCGAUCAGUAGCUGGUUUGAGAGAACGACCAGCCACAUUGGGACUGAGACACGGCCCAAACUCCUACGGGAGGCAGCAGUGGGGAAUCUUGGACAAUGGGGGAAACCCUGAUCCAGCCAUGCCGCGUGAGUGAUGAAGGCCUUCGGGUUGUAAAACUCUUUCGACGGAAACGAUAAUGACGGUACCCGUAGAAGAAGCUCCGGCUAACUUCGUGCCAGCAGCCGCGGUAAUACGAAGGGGGCUAGCGUUGUUCGGAAUUACUGGGCGUAAAGCGCGCGCAGGCGGCCAUUCAAGUCAGGGGUGAAAGCCCAGAGCUCAACUCUGGAACUGCCCUUGAAACUGCAUGGCUUGAGUACGAGAGAGGUGAGUGGAAUUCCCAGUGUAGAGGUGAAAUUCGUAGAUAUUGGGAAGAACACCGGUGGCGAAGGCGGCUCACUGGCUCGUUACUGACGCUCAGGCGCGACAGCGUGGGGAUCAAACAGGAUUAGAUACCCUGGUAG